GGGGCAACCCUGAGUAGAGUGGCGGACGGGUGAGUAACGCGUAGGAAUCUGCCUGGUAGUGGGGGACAACCCGGUGAAAACCGGGCUAAUACCGCAUACGAUCCACGGAUGAAAGCAGGGGACCGCAAGGCCUUGCGCUAUCAGAUGAGCCUGCGUCGGAUUAGCUAGUUGGUGAGGUAAAGGCUCACCAAGGCGACGAUCCGUAGCUGGUUUGAGAGAACGACCAGCCACACCGGAACUGAGACGCGGUCCGGACUCCUACGGGAGGCAGCAGUGGGGAAUAUUGGACAAUGGGGGCAACCCUGAUCCAGCAAUGCCGCGUGUGUGAAGAAGGCCUUCGGGUUGUAAAGCACUUUCGGUGGGGAAAAACAAGGCGGAGCUAACAUCUCCGUCUCUGAUGGUACCCAAAGAAGAAGCACCGGCUAACUCUGUGCCAGCAGCCGCGGUAAUACAGAGGGUGCAAGCGUUAAUCGGAUUUACUGGGCGUAAAGCGUGCGUAGGUGGUCUGUUAAGUCAGGCGUGAAAUCCUCGGGCUCAACCCGAGAACUGCGUUUGAUACUGAUAGACUCGAGUGUGGUAGAGGAUAGUGGAAUUCCCGGUGUAGCGGUGAAAUGCGUAGAUAUCGGGAGGAACAUCAGUGGCGAAGGCGGCUAUCUGGACCAACACUGACACUGAGGUACGAUAGCGUGGGUAGCAAACAGGAUUAGAUACCCUGGUAGUCCACGCCCUAAACGAUGGGAACUAGACG
rnacentral:rRNA from 1 species